UGAGCAACCUGCCUCAAAGAGGGGAAUAGCCUCCCGAAAGGGAGAUUAAUACCGCAUAAUAUGUUUAAGUCGCAUGACUUUAACAUCAAAGGAUUUUCUUUUAGAAAUUCCACUUUGAGAUGGACCCGCGGUGCAUUAGCUAGUUGGUGAGGUAAUGGCUCACCAAGGCGACGACGGGUAGCCGGCCUGGAGAGGGUGACCCGGCCACACUGGGACUGAGACACGGCCCAGCUCCGUAGGGAG
rnacentral:rRNA from 1 species